AGUGAACGCUGGCGGUAGGCCUAACACAUGCAAGUCGAACGGCAGCACAGUAAGAGCUUGCUCUUACGGGUGGCGAGUGGCGGACGGGUGAGGAAUACAUCGGAAUCUACUUUUUCGUGGGGGAUAACGUAGGGAAACUUACGCUAAUACCGCAUACGACCUACGGGUGAAAGCAGGGGAUCUUCGGACCUUGCGCGAUUGAAUGAGCCGAUGUCGGAUUAGCUAGUUGGCGGGGUAAAGGCCCACCAAGGCGACGAUCCGUAGCUGGUCUGAGAGGAUGAUCAGCCACACUGGAACUGAGACACGGUCCAGACUCCUACGGGAGGCAGCAGUGGGGAAUAUUGGACAAUGGGCGCAAGCCUGAUCCAGCCAUACCGCGUGGGUGAAGAAGGCCUUCGGGUUGUAAAGCCCUUUUUUUGGGAAAGAAAAGCAUCAGGUUAAUACCCCGCUGUUCUGACGGUACCCAAAGAAUAAGCACCGGCUAACUUCGUG
rnacentral:rRNA from 1 species